AAAUGUAUCACAAUACCCCAUAAUGACAAAGCAAAAACAGGUUUAGAUUUUUUGCAAAUGUAUUCAAACUAUUCCCCAGGAUAACUAGUCUCAGAGUAAUGUAAGAUGCUUGGAAAAAGAAGUUGAAAAGAAUAUCAGAACGGCACCAUUAGAACUAAAAUGUGUCGCCUGGAUGUCAGACCCCCAACCCUCCAAACUGUAAAUAAAUAACAAAAUGUGUAUUCUGGAUUUCAGACCCCCAACCCUCCAAACUGUAAAUAAAUAAUAAAAUGUCUCCUGGAUGUCAGACCCCCAACCCUCCAAACUGUAAAUAAAUAAUAAAAUGUGUCGCCUGGAUGUCAGACCGCCAACCCUCCAAACUGUAAAUAAAUAAUAAAAUGUGUCUCCUUGGCAACAUUAGAACCUCAGCACGUUUACUGUAUAUGUCGAGACAAAGGAAUGAUGUAAACAAAUAAUCCAAAAUAUUUUUGUCAAUGAGACAGUAUAUAAACAAAGGAAUGACCGAACCCCCUUUGGUGACUGAAUGCUUGUAAGGAAAACUAGAUGAUCAAAACAUUAGAUCACAUCAAAUAAGCCUGAGUGGUUUCACCUCCUCCCAGACUGGAUACUACAGUUAUAACUAUACAUAGUUAUACAGGAUACUACAGUUAUAACUAUACAUAGUUAUACAGGAUACUACAGUUAUACAUGAUACUAUAG